rnacentral:rRNA from 1 species
CCUACGGGCGACAGCAGUAGGGAAUCUUCGGCAAUGGGCGAAAGCCUGACCGAGCAACGCCGCGUGAAUGAAGAAGGCCUUCGGGUUGUAAAAUUCUGUUAUAAGGGAAGAAAGGUGAUAGGAGGAAAUGACUAUCAAUUGACGGUACCUUAUGAGAAAGCCACGGCUAACUACGUGCCAGCAGCCGCGGUAAUACGUAGGUGGCAAGCGUUAUCCGGAUUGAUUGGGAGUAAAGAGCGCGCAGGUGGUUAAUUAAGUCUGAUGUGAAAGCCCGCGGCUUAACCGUGGAGUGUCAUUGGAAACUGGUUGACUUGAGUGCAGAAGAGGGGAGGGGAAUUCCAUGUGUAGCGGUGAAAUGCGUAGAGAUAUGGAAGAACCCCAGUUGCGAAGGCAGCUUCCUGGUCUGCAACUGACACUGAGGCGCGAAAGCGUGGGGAGCAAACAGGAUUAGAUACCCCGGUAGUC